UUACUAUUCCCUCCGUCCGGAAAUACUUGUCAUCAAAAUGAACAAAAGGAGAUGUAUCUAGACGUAUUUUAGUUCUAGAUACAUCCCUUUUUAUUCAUUUUGAUGAAAAGUAUUUUCGGACGGAGGGAGUACUUU
rfam:Triticum aestivum genome assembly, contig: Triticum_aestivum_CS42_TGACv1_scaffold_220679_3B